GACGAACGCUGGCGGCGUGCUUAACACAUGCAAGUCGAACGAAGAGCGAUGGAAGCUUGCUUCUAUCAAUCUUAGUGGCGAACGGGUGAGUAACGCGUAAUCAACCUGCCCUUCAGAGGGGGACAACAGUUGGAAACGACUGCUAAUACCGCAUACGAUCUAAUCUCGGCAUCGAGGAUAGAUGAAAGGUGGCCUCUACAUGUAAGCUAUCACUGAAGGAGGGGAUUGCGUCUGAUUAGCUAGUUGGAGGGGUAACGGCCCACCAAGGCGAUGAUCAGUAGCCUGUCUGAGAGGAUGAACGGCCACAUUGGGACUGAGACACGGCCCAGACUCCUACGGGAGGCAGCAGUGGGGAAUCUUCCGAAAUGGACGAAAGUCUGACGGAGCAACGCCGCGUGAGCGAUGACGGCCUUCGGGUUGUAAAGCUCUGUUAAUCGGGACGAAAGGCCUUCUUGCGAAUAGUGAGAAGGAUUGACGGUACCGGAAUAGAAAGCCACGGCUAACUACGUG
rnacentral:rRNA from 1 species